AUUAACGCUUGCGGCCGGCCUAACACAUUCAAGUCGAACGGUAACAGGAAGAAGCUUGCUUCUUUGCUGACGAGUGGCGGACGGGUGAGUAAUGUCUGGGAAACUGCCUGAUGGAGGGGGAUAACUACUGGAAACGGUAGCUAAUACCGCAUAACGUCGCAAGACCAAAGAGGGGGACCUUCGGGCCUCUUUCCAUCGGAUUUGCCCAGAUGGGAUUAGCUAGUAGGUGGGGUAACGGCUCACCUAGGCGACGAUCCCUAGCUGGUCUGAGAGGAUGACCAGCCACACUGGAACUGAGACAAGGUCCAGACUCCUAAGGGAGGCAGGAGUGGGGAAUAUUGCACAAUGGGCGCAAGCCGGAUGCAGCCAUGCCGGGUGUAUGAAGAAGGCCUUCGGGUUGUAAAGUACUUUCAGCGGGGAGGAAGGGAGUAAAGUUAAUACCUUUGCUCAUUGACGUUACCCGAAGAAGAAGCACCGGCUAAAUCCGUG
rnacentral:rRNA from 1 species